rnacentral:rRNA from 1 species
UACGUAGGGGGCUAGCGUUGUCCGGAAUUAUUGGGCGUAAAGGGCUCGUAGGCGGUUCGUCACGUCGGGAGUGAAAACUCGGGGCUUAACCCUGAGCUUGCGGUCGAUACGGGCAUGACUGGAGUUCGGCAGGGGAGACUGGAAUUCCUGGUGUAGCGGUGAAAUGCGCAGAUAUCAGGAGGAACACCGGUGGCGAAGGCGGGUCUCUGGGCCGUAACUGACGCUGAGGAGCGAAAGCGUGGGGAGCGAACAGG